GACGAACGCUGGCGGCGUGCCUAAUACAUGCAAGUUGAGCGAUGAAGAUUGGUGCUUGCACCAAUUUGAAGAGCAGCGAACGGGUGAGUAACGCGUGGGGAAUCUGCCUUUGAGCGGGGGACAACAUUUGGAAACGAAUGCUAAUACCGCAUAACAACUUUAAACAUAAGUUUUAAGUUUGAAAGAUGCAAUUGCAUCACUCAAAGAUGAUCCCGCGUUGUAUUAGCUAGUUGGUGAGGUAAAGGCUCACCAAGGCGAUGAUACAUAGCCGACCUGAGAGGGUGAUCGGCCACAUUGGGACUGUGAAACGGCCCAAACUCCUACGGGAGGCAGCAGUAGGGAAUCUUCGGCAAUGGACGAAAGUCUGACCGAGCAACGCCGCGGGAGUGAAGAAGGUUUUCGGAUCGUAAAACUCUGUUGGUAGAGAAGAACGUUGGUGAGAGUGGAAAGCUCAUCAAGUGACGGUAACUACCCAGAAAGGGACGGCUAACUACGUG
rnacentral:rRNA from 1 species